AGUGAACGCUGGCGGUAGGCCUAACACAUGCAAGUCGAACGGCAGCACAGUAAGAGCUUGCUCUUACGGGUGGCGAGUGGCGGACGGGGGAGGAAUACAUCGGAAUCUACUUUUUCGUGGGGGAGAACGUAGGGAAACUUACGCUAAUACCGCAUACGACCUACGGGUGAAAGCAGGGGAUCUUCGGACCUUGCGCGAUUGAAUGAGCCGAUGUCGGAUUAGCUAGUUGGCGGGGUAAAGGCCCACCAAGGCGACGAUCCGUAGCUGGUCUGAGAGGAUGAUCAGCCACACUGGAACUGAGACACGGUCCAGACUCCUACGGGAGGCAGCAGUGGGGAAUAUUGGACAAUGGGCGAAAGCCUGAUCCAGCCAUACCGCGUGGGUGAAGAAGGCCUUCGGGUUGUAAAGCCCUUUUGUUUGGAAAGAAAAGCAGCAGGUUAAUACCCCGCUGUUCUGACGGUACCCAAAGAAUAAGCACCGGCUAACUUCGUG
rnacentral:rRNA from 1 species